rnacentral:sRNA from 1 species
CAGGAGGCUCGGGUUCAAUUCCCGGUACGG